rnacentral:misc_RNA from 1 species
CGCCGAUGUUGAGCGAGGGAUCGACGCCGCCCGCGAUGCCGGAAAACAGGAUGGUGCGCAGAUUGAAGCGAUCGAUCGCCAUCUGCGCCGUCAUCGCCGCGUUGACCAUCGAGACGNNNNNNNNNNNCCACAUCGUGCCCCUCGACGCGGCCGGUGACGAAAUCGACGCCCUUCUCCUUGUGCGAGACCGGCUGCUCCACGACGGCAAGCAGCGCCUGCC